UACGUAGGAGACGAGCGUUGUCCGGAAUCAUUGGGCGUAAAGAGCGCGUAGGCGGCCAGAUAAGUCCGGUGUGAAAGUCAAAGGCUCAACCUUUGAAUGCCGCUGGAAACUGUCUGGCUAGAGUCCGGGAGGGGCGAGUGGAAUUCCUGGUGUAGCGGUGAAAUGCGCAGAUAUCAGGAGGAACACCAAUGGCGAAGGCAGCUCGCUGGAACGGUACUGACGCUGAGGCGCGAAAGCGUGGGGAGCGAACAGG
rnacentral:rRNA from 1 species